CCUACGGGAGGCUGCAGUCGAGGAUCUUCGGCAAUGAGCGCAAGCUUGACCGAGCGACGCCGCGUGGAUGAUGAAGGCCUUCGGGUUGUAAAAUCCUGUCGAGGGGGAUCAAGGGCAACUUGAGUGAUCCCUGGAGGAAGGGCGGGCUAAGUUCGUGCCAGCAGCCGCGGUAAGACGAACUGCCCAAACGUUGUUCGGAAUCACUGGGCUUAAAGGGCGCGUAGGCGGCGAUUCAAGUCAGGGGUGAAAUCCGGCAGCUCAACUGUCGAAGUGCCUUUGAUACUGAAUUGCUCGAGGGAGGUAGGGGUGUGUGGAACUUCUGGUGGAGCGGUGAAAUGCGUUGAUAUCAGAAGGAACGCCGGUGGCGAAAGCGACGCACUGGACCUUUUCUGACGCUGAGGCGCGAAAGCUAGGGGAGCAAACGGGAUUAGAUACCCGAGUAGUC
rnacentral:rRNA from 1 species